UCUUAUCCCAUCCAAACCAACGGAAACCUCUUUGAUUUAUCUGAAACAACUGUCCUUUUUCGUCCAUCCACAAAAUAUACCUGCCAUUUUUCUCUGCUCUUUUUCAUUAUUCACCAAACAAAGAGGUUCUUCCAUAAAAGAAAAAAAAAAGAGGCUUUUUUUUUGUGGCGGAGAGAGACGGAUUGGGCAAAAUGGACGGUAACACUACGGAGGCUGAGCGGUGGUUGAGCAUAGCGGAGAAGCUAUUGGCGACGCGUGAUUUGCACGGGACCCGAACCUUCGCGAUCCGAGCCCGUGAAUCGGCUCCUAUCCUGGCCGACCAAAUACUUGCGGUGACGGACACCCUCUUAACGGCACAAUCUAAUACUCAAGAUUGGUACAGGAUCCUCCAACUCGUGCCGUUAACUCAGUCCAUGGAGGUCGUGGCGAGUCAGUAUAGGAAACUCGCUCUUCUUUUGAAUCCUGGGAGGAACAGGCUCUCUUUCGCAGAUCAGGCGUUUCGAUUCGUUUCUGAAGCUUGGAAUGUGUUGUCUAACCCUUCUAAGAAGGCCAUUUAUGAUAACGAGUUGAGGUUCCUUCAGUAUGGUCAGGUGAGUCAACCCGGUGAACAACAAAAUCAUCAACAACCACAGCUUCAGCAACAGCAACAACAACAAGAGAAGCAGCCGCAAACGCAGACGCUGUUCAUGCAAUCGCAUCCGCUUCCUGCGCCGAAGGAAACUCAAACGCUGUUUAUGCAAACUCCGCAGAAAGAGACGCCGACGCAAGUUACUCAGCCGCUAUUCACGAGAAGAAGCCCUAGAAAUACUGAUAGAGAAGGGAAUGCUGAUUUAGGAGGCGGCGGGCAGUCGGGUCUCAAUAACAAGCCGCCGGAGCAAAAUCGGUCGACUGAGCCGAUAUGGAAGAGGCAGAUGAAUCAGAUUGGUUUAGGUGAGAGCAGUCAGGUUAGACAGUCAGGGUCAGUCGAUUCCAGCCAGAUUAAUCAAACAGGAACAGAUAGCUCGAGUCAGUUUAAUCGGGCCGAGCCAGCUCGUACGAGUCAAAUUAACCAGACCACAACUCCUCCUCCUCCUCCUCCUCCUCCUAGGGCGGAUAGUCAGACACAGUCAACUAAUGUGUCUCAGCCUAGAGAAGCCACUGAGUCAGAGGUGCUGACAUUCUGGACAGCUUGUCCGUACUGUUACGUUCUCUAUGAGUAUCCAAAGUUGUAUGAAGAUUGUACAUUGAGGUGCCAGACUAAGAACUGCAGGAGGGCUUUUCAUGCGGUUGUGAUACCGUCGCCGCCAGUAAAUGGAAAGGACACGCAUUUCAACUGCUGGGGGUUUUUCCCAUUAGGAUUUUCUAGGAGCGGUAAUUUUCCCAGUUGGUCACCUAUUUCGACCAUGUUUGCUUGCCCUAAUAACCAGAAUGCUGCAAAACAAAAUACUGCCAAAAAGUCUGCUCCAAGAGUAUAUUACGAUGAUGAUGAUGUACAUGAAGAUAUUUCUGACUCAAUUGGGACUUAUGAUGACGAUGAUGAUGAUUGGCAAAAUGAGAAGAGGAAGAAGGCAAAGAAUGCUAAAAGGAAAGUGUCUGUGGGGAGGAAUGCUAAGAAACCACAGAGCGAGGGAAUUAAGCAGCAGACUAAUGAGAAAGCUAGUGUUGAUCACAGUGGGAAUCUGAUUGGUGUGUCCACGGUGCCUGAUGGUGUGCCAACUGCUGAAUCGAGCCGAAGGGGGGUUGUUAAUAGCGGGAGGAAGCAGAUGGGAAGGGUGGCAAAUAAUUUGGGGAAGUUGGAUUUGAAUGUGGAGUUUAGCAAUGAAGUUGAAGAGCCUGCGCCGAGGAGGAACGAGGGAAAUCACGACGGCUAUGUGGAGGAGGAUAACAUUGAAGGGAAUGGGUUCUUUGAGGGUCUUGAUGAGUAUUUGAAUAGCUUACCUAUACUUUCGGCUGUUGGGGAUGAUAAAGUUAAGGCUACUUAGUGAAGUAAGAUCCUUUUUUUUUCUGCAGUAGUUGUAAUGGAAUGCUUGUAGUAUUUAACCAUGUGGAGAUGCUUAUGGCCUCCCUUUAUAGCCUCUUCAGUGUUGGAUUUGACUGUAUAUUCUGCAGCAUCACGUUUUGUCAAUAUUUUGAUCGUUUUAUGUUGCCUAUUUACUCUGAAAGUUCUAUUUGUCAAAAUUUCCUGUUUGGGAGGAUAAUUUGAAAGUUAAGUACAAAAUCAUGAUAAUCUAUGAGUUGAAGAUGGAAUGUUCUGUCCACCAUGAUUCUGGCGGUGACGGGAAUUGGUGGUAAGUUUUCUGACUGUUCUCUUUCUCUUUUGAGUUGAAAGAGUUAUUAACCAUGAUAAUUGCUUUCUCCCCUUCUCUUUUCCCUCUUAAUAAAAGGAAAAGAGAAAAGGCUGAAGCUUAGACUAAGGAAGUUGGAAAUAUGCUUUGAAAAUGAUGAAUUGGACUAUUCAAGUUUGAUCUUGCUUAUGAAAAGAUUUUAAUUACUUGGAUUAUGAUUCAAUUGUUAUGAGCUUCUAUGAAUUUCGUUACAGAAGCUUUUGGGUUUGCAAAUCUGCUUCCUCUGUUCUAAGAAUGAGUUUCGAAAGGUUAUGGAGCCUCUAUGGUUUUGAUUACCAAUACCCUUCUCUAUAUUUAUUCCAUAAAUAAGGCCUAAACACUUGAUUUAUUGACCCACCUUAACAUACACCCUUUAACUUCAAAUGGAGGAAUCCCAAUUGAAGUUGUCAGACGCUGGUUUGAAGUACACGAUUUCAUCUUCUAGUUGCAUAUGCUGUGCAAACUUACUGUUAUGCUAAUCCCCUAGCCAUUAGCUUCUUAUACCAAUUGUGAGAGACAUUCCUUCUUAUUGGGCUCAAAAUCCCAGUACCAACAUCGUGCUAAUUCUCCAGAAGUCUAAUCUUCAGAAGAUCUUUUGUAUUUUGCUCGAUAAACUCCUUGCCCUUGUGCAGACUUAAAAUCUGAUUUUCCCUUUCUUUUGUUGUUUUUCGAUAGCCAGUAACUUCUUUAGUAUAGAAUAUUUUAAUUACAUAUCAGUAUUCCUGUCAUCAUUCACCAAGCAAGUGCAGUUUUUAUUUUUAUUUUUUAUAAUUGAGUUGCUGUGCUCUUGUUUAAUUGUCUUCUAACUCGCCUCGUUCUUUUUCCUUAAUUGCAGUAGCUAACUUGUUGAUCAGAUGUUAAAGCGUCCAGCAAGUCAUUCAUUCUAAUAAUCAGUUUUAGUUUGUUGCAACAUGCUUCUAUUUGUGGUACACUCGAAUUUAGUGAGCGAGACAUGUUGUAACGAGAAGUGCUUUGCCGGUUGGAUAACUUUUUAUUGGAAUCUUUUUCUGUACUUUGUAUGGGGUUUUGGAUUUCGUAAUCUACUCUUAAGGGCAUUGUAUGAUGCUGGCCUGGGAAGACGUCACAUGUAAUCUGAUUUGUGAACUACGCUUUACCUGUCAAAAACUGGAAGCUGCCUCGGGUUCUUUGUAGUGGUCAAAUGUUGCUCAGCUAAUAUGUCCAAAGGCGGUAGAUGAUCACAGAGCAGAGCAAUUGGGAUAUGAUUGGAGGGCUUUCUUUCCUGUCUACCAUACUAAACAAUUGAAGAGUGUAACGACUUAUUGCUGUCUUCUUCAAAGGGCGAAGAAGGUACGUUAUCCGUAAACGUGACAAUGUCU